AAGUUGGCUUGUGUGGAUUUCUGAGGCCCGAUUACUGCAUCAACCUUUACAAAUUUCAACAAUUCAAGACCUGCAGUUUUUAUACAAGAGUAAGAUGGACUUUAUUUCCCGAAAACUUCUCCUACUAAAUUUUGUACAACUUUCCAAUUGUAGGCAUGUACACAGUCCAUUCAGGCAGACCAGAUAUCAUGAUAUGGCUGAUCAGACUGACUGCGGGUAAAUUACUGAAAUUGAUAGAAGCGUUCAAGGCGGUUGAUCACAUACUUGCUGGAACCUAAAAGUCAGAGGAGGAGUUGGGAUUUCAAUUUUAUGGGUUCUAGAUUUUAGCACAAAGACUUCAAGUGAGCGUAUCCGGGCUUCUAGCUCCACCCCUGCCAGAAGUAGUAGUAGUAGCUACAUCAAUAAAUGAAGUCAAAAAGUGAGGGCAAAAAAAAAGGAAAAGAAGACCGUUGUUCUAGGUAUAAUGUACUGAGGUUGACGAUAUAGUGACCUCAGUAUCCCCGCGCUAGCUUUUGAAGCUAGCAGUUCCCAUUAUCAACUGCAGCGUCGUGUUUCUGGAUUAAAGAAAAUUGUUUUGCUUCUGAAUUCUACACUGAUCCUCGCAGAGGAAAGGAAAUCUUAAAAGGAAAAGAGGAAAGUAUACUUACUCGAAGCAGCUGCAUCAAUUACAUUUCCUUUGGAGUCCCUGACAUGAAGAACCAAUCUUGUUGUGUAGUUGGGAUGGCGUGCAUAGAAGUCGGAAUGGGCAGUCGCCAAGCAGUCAAGAGCCCUGUGCCCGAGCUCUGUUUCCAAAUCAAGAACCACACCCACUUGAAAGCUAAUAACUGAGCCGUCGCCACCCGAGGCGCCAGAGCAACACAAGGCGGAACUCAUUGUAAUAAGGAGACCAACAAGAAUGGAAUGGAAGGAGAUGUUCAUUGCUUUUUCAAGGAAGAAUACUAAUUGAUUAAUUCAAUAUACAGUAUUCUUAUAUCUGUGCUGCUUAUAUAGGCAUCAGUUGACCAAGACUUGUAUACUAAGGUGCAUGUGCAUAGAUUUGAUUUUGUUGUAUAUCUUUCCUUUUUUACGGUUUUGUUGUAUAUGCAUAGAAGUCAAAAAUAAAAUAUGCUGUGAAACUUCCUGGAUAUGGGGAGAGUGAAUGUUAUUGGUAAAGUCUUAGUUAUUCUCAGACCUUUAGUAUAUAAAACUACCAGGAUGUUAUCAAGU